GUCUAGCCUGUUUGGGGCCACCUGGGGAUGUGGGGUGGGCAAGGUCCUGCCUCCCCAGUGCAAGUUCCUAGGCUCUCAUCCUCCAGUCCCGGGCACAUUCAGCAACUACGUGCGGUGUGGGGUUGAUAGAAGAGGAGACGUCUGAGCUGGGCCUUGAAAGGCCUGGUGAGGAACAAGGAGAACACCUUCUGUUACAGUGCUUUAUAAAUGACGGGGUGUGAGCUGGUGGCGGUGGCACCAUUGCUGGGGGCCGUGAAGACGAGGACUUGGGCGGCAGAUGCACCAGAUCCAGGUUCAAAUCCCAACUUGUCCACAGCUGGUUGUGUGACCUUGAUCAGAAGCCGGGGAGCAGAAGGCAUUCGUUUCCCCUCUCUUGAGCCAGGCCACUCUCUUGGGUCAUACUCUCCCCCGUCCUGAGCUGACAGCUGCCUCCCCCUCUCCCUGGGCCCAUGCUCUGGAGGAUGAGGGACAGCAGCAGGAAGCCAGCUGACCAGUAAGGGGACAGAAGUCAGGCGGAGAUUCAUUCCGGUGACAGCAGACCAACCAAGCCUGGGACCGGACGGCAAAGGUGUAGGGCCUCCCCUUGGGCCAGAAGCUGCCGGCUCACCAGUUGGAGGAUUCUGAAUG